AUCACUUUUCUGUGAUAUGCCUAAGAGAGAAAAAAAAUGUUAUCUGUUCUUACCAGUUUAAUAUCUGAUAUGUCCUCUAUCCAAGGACAAUAUAUUAAACAGAUUCCUUGGAAAUAGGAGGUGGAAUAGGAAUUUGCUUUGUCUGCUCCGUGAAUCAACCUGAUAAUUACAGUACCUCCAGGAACAAAGCACUCUCC